ensembl:lncRNA
GGAGCAGGGGAGGUCCUUCCCGUCGCCGGCCCCCUCCCUGGGAGCGGCGCGUUCUCUGGACCCGGCCGAGGGUCGCGUCGAGGAUGUGAGGGCUCGCUCCCCGCCGCCCGCCGGGCCAGGGGAGGCGCGUGAGUGCGGGGCGCGCUGGUCCAGUCCACUCCUCGGCGGGGCCACUUUGCUUUUCGGACGGGCCGGGGGUCGGGGGGGAGGGCGAUGUGUGGGUGGGGGGCAGCAGAGAACUCCCCCCACCUCCCGGGCGCGGGACCGACCGGUUGACAGGCGCCGCGUGCAACUCGCGUCCCGCGUCCGCGGUGCAUCCGUGAUGGGUUAUAAAAGAGGAGAAAAGUAUUUCUCCUUGCUCAGCACAUUUGCCCUGCCUGGCUCCUUACUGGUUAGAAGAUAGAACGUGAGCCCAGAUCCGGACGAGCAGUUCACAUUCCAUUACGAAAUUCUACACGGCUUCAGAGCCAGCAGCAGCACACAUUCGGGCCACUUUGGAGUUUUUUCGGCUUCUUCUUUGGGGGUGGUGGUGGUGGAGAGAUGGAAAGGCGAAUUAAAAAAAAAAAAGCACAACUCUGGGGUAUGCUGAAAAACCUGUCUGAGGGUUUUCAGCAGCAGAAACAUUCACCCCACGCUUGUUUUAGAGUUUAGAUUUAAAAGCCCGUGGAAAUGGAGUUUGCCUGUUGGAUAGAGAUGCUGGAAAUAGCGAGGUGUUUCUGUCUUGAAGAAGGGACUGGAGGUGAUUUCUGCGAAGGCUGCCGAGUCGUUAAUGUGCAUCCCAUGUUUCCCGGGUAGUUUUCUUCUAGAUAUGCGAUGGUGUGUGCCUGCGCGCGAGUGUGUUCGAAUUUAAUUGAUGUGGAAAGCAGAGAAAAGGGAACUGCAAAGAAAAGGAUGGUUUUUGUUUUGUUUUUCCCCACGGCCCUUAAAAGCAUCCUCUAGGGUUGGUGCCUUCUGGAGAAGGCAGGUAUGGUUCUAAGUCCUAAUGUAACCCGGAAGUCUUGUUAGAGGCUGAAGCCUUGACUGAAAAAUUUUUUCCCUCUCGCUUUCUUGUUUUAAACGUGUAGUUCUUUUCUUCCUUCGAGAAUCACACAAUCACACAAAUUAUUCUUCAAGUAAUUUAUGCAAAGUGUCUUUUUAUUGAAGUUCAUGCUCUGACCAGACCUGGUGUCAGAUGGCAGCUUGUCUGGGUGAACGUCUUGCCUGUUAACCUGUGUGUUCAGAUUAAAUCCACGCUUCCCUAGGAAAGGUGUGUGUAAUAUCACCUUAUUUCAUUUAUUAAUAACAGAUGGCUUAGUUUGGAAAACUUGCCUAAUCUGUGAAGUGAUGUCUUA